rnacentral:misc_RNA from 1 species
GAUUAAAUCGAGAGUGUCUUCAUUGACCUCUCACCCUUCGCAUCCACAUACACCUGUGCACCGUUUGGCUCUUUUAAGAGACGCAAGUCUGCAAAGAGAGUCAUCAAUUUUAUACAUACCCCAGUCUUAUGAAUGUAACAGUAUUAAUAAACAUAAUAAAACUUUUAACAACGGAUCUCUUGGUUCU